GAUCAUGGCUCAGGACGAACGCUGGCGGCGUGCUUAACACAUGCAAGUCGAGCGGAAAGGCCCUCGGGGUACUCGAGCGGCGAACGGGUGAGUAACACGUGAGCAACCUGCCCUAGGCUUUGGGAUAACCCUCGGAAACGGGGGCUAAUACCGAAUAUAACUUCUGGUCGCAUGAUCGGGGAGUGGAAAGUUUUUCGGCCUGGGAUGGGCUCGCGGCCUAUCAGCUUGUUGGUGGGGUGAUGGCCUACCAAGGCGACGACGGGUAGCCGGCCUGAGAGGGCGACCGGCCACACUGGGACUGAGACACGGCCCAGACUCCUACGGGAGGCAGCAGUGGGGAAUAUUGCACAAUGGGCGGAAGCCUGAUGCAGCCGACGCCGCGUGAGGGAUGACGGCCUUCGGGUUGUAAACCUCUUUCAGCAGGGACGAAGCGUGAGUGACGGUACCUGCAGAAGAAGCGCCGGCCAACUACGUGCCAGCCGCCGC
rnacentral:rRNA from 1 species